UAGGGAAUUUUCCACAAUGGACGAAAGUCUGAUGGAGCAACGCCGCGUGCAGGAUGAAUGCCUUCGGGUUGUAAACUGCUUUUAUCUGUGACGAAUAUGACGGUAGCAGAUGAAUAAGGAUCGGCUAACUCCGUGCCAGCAGCCGCGGUCAUACGGAGGAUCCAAGCGUUAUCCGGAAUUACUGGGCGUAAAGAGUUGCGUAGGUGGCAGAGUAUGUCUGUAGUGAAAGCGUGUGGCUCAACCAUAUACACAUUACAGAAACUGCUCAGCUAGAGGGCGAGAGAGGUUACUAGAAUUCCUAGUGUAGGAGUGAAAUCCGUAGAUAUUAGGAGGAAUACCGAUGGCGUAGGCAGGUAACUGGCUCGUCCCUGACACUAAGGCACGAAAGCGUGGGUAGCAAACGGG
rnacentral:rRNA from 1 species